GAUGAACGCUGGCGGCGUGCCUAAUACAUGCAAGCCGAGCGAAUGGAUUAAGAGCUUGCUCUUAUGAAGUUAGCGGCGGACGGGUGAGUAACACGUGGGUAACCUGCCCAUAAGACUGGGAUAACUCCGGGAAACCGGGGCUAAUACCGGAUAACAUUUUGAACCGCAUGGUUCGAAAUUGAAAGGCGGCUUCGGCUGUCACUUAUGGAUGGACCCGCGUCGCAUUAGCUAGUUGGUGAGGUAACGGCUCACCAAGGCAACGAUGCGUAGCCGACCUGAGAGGGUGAUCGGCCACACUGGGACUGAGACACGGCCCAGACUCCUACGGGAGGCAGCAGUAGGGAAUCUUCCGCAAUGGACGAAAGUCUGACGGAGCAACGCCGUGUGAGUGAUGAAGGCUUUCGGGUCGUAAAACUCUGUUGUUAGGGAAGAACAAGUGCUAGUUGAAUAAGCUGGCACCUUGACGGUACCUAACCAGAAAGCCACGGCUAACUACGUGCCAGCCGCCGCGGUAA
rnacentral:rRNA from 1 species